rnacentral:lncRNA from 1 species
CCUCCUCCGCAGGCCUCUCUAUGGGUUCUAGCCUGCGAAUGGGUUUUGAAAAAAAAAUUUUCUGGGAGAGAGGCCUGCCAUAAAUCGAACAAAAUGGACGUGUCAAUGUACCUAGUGGCCGUGUCAAUGUACCCCACCCCCUAAGUAGGCUUUUGACCCUUAUUAUAUAUUCAGUUUGAAAUCUUCUGGCGAGGAGCGAAGCUUGCGAUUUUAAAAAACAUUAAAAACUUUAAAAAUGUUUUAUAAUGCGUCGAAAUAUUCAAGCUAUACGAAAAUUAGUUGGUCAAUUGAAAGGAUUAUAUGUCGCAAUGUCUCUCGCGGUCUAAAAACGACGUGCAAAUUCUGAAUCGCUCGCUCGAAGCAGCCAAGUGUUUACAAAUUAUGUCUACAAAUAUGUAUUGAAUGUAUGGGUUCAGAGUUCCGCUCAAUUGUUCAGCCGAGGAACUACAAUUUGAGGAAAUUAUCUGGCAUAAUUUCGAACGCAAAACGAAGAAUGGAACGAUACCAAAGGUAUAAUUUG